rnacentral:lncRNA from 1 species
UUUAUACUUAAUAUAAAAAGAAGAUGUGGUAUGAUUGCCAAUGAGACAACUGUCCACAAAAGACCAAAAUGACACAGACAUUAACAACUAUAGGUCACGUACGGCCUUCAACAAUGAGCAAAGCCCAUACCGCAUAGUCAGCUAUAAAAGGCCCCGAUAAGACAAUGUAAAACAAUUCAAACGAGAAAACUAACGGCCUUUUUUAUGUAAAAAAAAAUGAACGAAAAACAAAUAUGUAACACAUAAACAAACGACAACCAAUGAAUAUACAGGCUCCUGACUUGGGACAGGCACAUACAUAAAUAAUGUGGCGGGG